GAGUUUGAUCCUGGCUCAGGAUGAACGCUGGCGGCGUGCUUAACACAUGCAAGUCGAACGGAGGAUGUACGGUGAAGAGAUUUCGGUCAAAUCAUGUGCAUCUUUAGUGGCGGACGGGUGAGUAACGCGUGGGUAACCUGCCUUACACAGGGGGAUAACACUUAGAAAUAGGUGCUAAUACCGCAUGAGCGCACAGGACCGCAUGGUCGAGUGUGAAAAACUGAGGUGGUGUAAGAUGGACCCGCGUCUGAUUAGCUAGUUGGUGAGGUAACGGCCCACCAAGGCGACGAUCAGUAGCCGGCCUGAGAGGGUGGACGGCCACAUUGGGACUGAGACACGGCCCAAACUCCUACGGGAGGCAGCAGUGGGGGAUAUUGGACAAUGGGGGGAACCCUGAUCCAGCGACGCCGCGUGAGUGAAGAAGUAUCUCGGUAUGUAAAGCUCUAUCAGCAGGGAAGAAGAAAUGACGGUACCUGAGUAAGAAGCCCCGGCUAACUACGUGCCAGCAGCCGCGGUAAUACGUAGGUGGCAAGCGUUGUCCGGAUUUACUGGGUGUAAAGGGCGUGCAGCCGGGAAGACAAGUCAGAUGUGAAAUCCCGCGGCUCAACCGCGGAACUGCAUUUGAAACUGUUUUUCUUGAGUAUCGGAGAGGUAAUCGGAAU
rnacentral:rRNA from 1 species